ensembl:rRNA 5S_rRNA 5S ribosomal RNA
GUCUAAAACCAUACCACCCUACAGUCAGUCACUCAAUCUUGGCUCAUCUCGGAACCUAAGCAAGGUCGGGCUUGGGGAGUACUUGGAUGGGAGAAAAUGGGAGACUAGGGAGCCUGGGCC